GCCUUACACAUGCAAGGUCGAACGGCGAGCACGGGAGCAAUUCCGUGGUGGCGAGUGGCGAACGGGUGAGUAAUAUAUCGGAACGUGCCCGGUCGUGGGGGAUAACGUAGCGAAAGCUACGCUAAUACCGCAUACGAUCUAUGGAUGAAAGCGGGGAUCGCAAGACCUCGCGCGAUUGGAGCGGCCGAUAUCAGAUUAGGUAGUUGGUGAGGUAAAGGCUCACCAAGCCGACGAUCUGUAGCUGGUCUGAGAGGACGACCAGCCACACUGGGACUGAGACACGGCCCAGACUCCUACGGAGGCAGCAGUGGGGAAUUUUGGACAAUGGGCGCAAGCCUGAUCCAGCAAUGCCGCGUGCAGGAUGAAGGCCUUCGGGUUGUAAACUGCUUUUGUACGGAACGAAACGGUGAGCUCUAAUACAGUUUGCUAAUGACGGUACCGUAAGAAUAAGCACCGGCUAACUACGUG
rnacentral:rRNA from 1 species